AUGCCCUUAAAAACCGCUCUGAACGCAUCAAUCUCUUGGAUCUACAGCUUUUUGAAAAGGUCUGUCAUUUCAGUCAAGGAGCUAUUUAUAGAGCUCACCUGCAACGUGCACUGUACUAGGCAAGAACAUGCAGCAGUAUCCUACUUCUGCCAGGUGUCCAAGAUAACUAUGUCUAUGAAGAACACAUGCUUUUGCCCCCUGCGUUAGACUUCCAAGACUUGCUAAGCCCUAAAACAGUAUGUACAAGGGCAGUUCACGAUAGUUGCCGUGAGCCCUUGUGGGAUUAUAAAGUACAAGUUGGAAACACGUUAAGCAGUAAGCAGCAGUGUUAAGUCUGACUCUCAUUGCCAAUAGCCUGAAUUGUGCAGAUUGCCUAACGCAGCACACUAGGUGUUCACAAGUUGUCCUACAUCAGCCAAUAGCUGCUGAAGCUUAAGCCAAGUCCAUGAAAUGGUUUACGCGCUGUGAGGAGAGACUGAGCCAUGGGCUAAGAAGUUUCCCACUUAUGAAGAGUCAUUAAGUAUCUGAAUUCAAGUUGAGUGCUAUAAACAGGAGUAAGCUAGUUAUCCUUCCAUGACUAGUUCUGUGAAGCUUUCUGUUUGCUUAUUAAGCUACUAAGUAGUCAGAGGCAUGCACGCGUGUUUUAAUGACUCAGAACUCCCGUGGAUAGGAGCUGACUUUUUAAACGGUGUAGUUAUUUUUUAUAGUUAAGCCAUCGUUGUUCAGUAUUGUUUGUCGAGUCUGUAUUUUGAAAAUACAAUAGUUCAAUUUAAAAAGAAACACAUGCAUUUAGUUUAGGCUCAACGAUACAAUUUGUCCCACUUUUUGAAAAACCACGUGGUCCUUGUGCUACAGAAAUAUGGUCUGAACCUGAAGAUUGAAACCUAAAGCUGGAAGCACUGCAACAGAUUCCCAUGGAGUUUGUCACCCUUUUAUAGUUUAAGAUAAAUACAAAGGAAAGCAAUUGAACUGUUUUUUUUUUCUUUUUUUUCUUUAAGUCUGACAAAGGCCUCGAGUGAAAGUCUAUAGCUUUAGCAUCCAUUCUCACCUUGACCUAUCUAUGUCUCAUCUACUCAAUACUCAACUGCCUGCCUAAACCACAGGUAGGCUUUGACACCAUUUUAACGUUACAAUAAGCCAACAAGUUGGCAAAAAAGAAUACAGAGGUAAUACAGUUAAGUUGCACAUGGCCACUGGGGCUUGGUCAAGCCAGCUGGCAUUUUUGAUCACUUGAGUUUCUUGGUCUAAAAUUUGUGAUUGGUACCUACAGUUCUGCAAGAGUCCCAAUCCACAAAAUAUUUAAGCUUUAAAAAAAAAAAAGCAACUUUUAUUGUCAGUUCUAUCUAAACAUGUCAAGAAAAAUACUAUUUGUGCUCUAGGUCACUUUAUAAUCCUAGAUACCUACUAGCUUAUCUAAAAGCCCCUGAAUACUGUAUUUUGUCUGUUCAUACAGACAAACACUGUUUUGCUCAAGCAAAUAAAAAUUAUAUCCACUAGUAACA
rnacentral:lncRNA from 1 species